GAUGAACGCUGGCGGCGUGCCUAAUACAUGCAAGUCGAGCGAACGGACGAGAAGCUUGCUUCUCUGAUGUUAGCGGCGGACGGGUGAGUAACACGUGGAUAACCUACCUAUAAGACUGGGAUAACUUCGGGAAACCGGAGCUAAUACCGGAUGAUAUUUUGAACCGCAUGGUUCAAAAGUGAAAGACGGUCUUGCUGUCACUUAUAGAUGGAUCCGCGCUGCAUGAGUAGCUGGGCAAGGUAACGGCUUACCAAGGCAACGAGGGAUAGCCGACCUGAGAGGGUGAUCGGCCACACUGGAACUGAGACACGGUCCAGACUCCUACGGGAGGCAGCAGUAGGGAAUCUUCCGCAAUGGGCGAAAGCCUGACGGAGCAACGCCGCGUGAGUGAUGAAGGUCUUCGGAUCGUAAAACUCUGUUAUUAGGGAAGAACAUAUGUGUAAGUAACUGGGCACAUCUUGACGGUACCGAAUCAGAAAGCCACGGCUAACUACGUG
rnacentral:rRNA from 1 species